AAUACGGAGGGUGCAAGCGUUAUCCGGAUUCACUGGGUUUAAAGGGUGCGUAGGUGGGUUGGUAAGUCAGUGGUGAAAUCUCCGAGCUUAACUUGGAAACUGCCGUUGAUACUAUCAAUCUUGAAUAUCGCGUAGGUAAGCGGAAUAUGUCAUGUAGCGGUGAAAUGCUUAGAUAUGACAUAGAACACCAAUUGCGAAGGCAGCUUACUUCACGAUCAUUGACACUGAGGCACGAAAGCGUGGGGAGCAAACAG
rnacentral:rRNA from 1 species